GUGGGAGCUGCAGCAUCCUCCUGCGCCGUAGGUAGGGCCGAGGCGGCGGUGGGGGCUGCGGGGGGAGGAGUUAUCCCCGCGAUGUCUCGCUCAGGGAUCCUCUCUGGAAGGCUCCAGCACAAAGGAGCCGUGCGGCGGCCACGAGCGAGCGGAGCCUGCCCGUCCCCGAGCCCGGCCACCGCCUGGAAAUCAGAAACCUCAUCAAGAAUAGGGCUCGAGCCAGGUAAAUGGAUUCUUGCCUAAUUUUCCGUGCUCCCGGAAGGAAGUUAGCCAAAAUGAUGGUUUACUUCUUUGUCUAGGACCCACCAUUUUCUCCCCAGCCCGGUGAUUUUAGGUAGGGGCUGUAGAGGAGGGGCUGGGGCCGGCAGCCCUCCCCCUGCAGCGUUAGCCCUUGGUGCUGCCUGCUUUUGGGGAGCCAUUUUCUCCCGCUAUUGUUUCGCCGCCCUUUGUGCGCGGCACACCUCGCCCUGGGGGCAGGGGGGAGCCCCCAAACCAAACCCUGCGGCAGCCCCAACCCGCAGGACCCCCCCCCUUGCACCCCUACGGUGGGCACAGCAGACGCGGGGGGCGUUGGGGCCGGGGGGGGCCGCAGGGAGCAGGGGCUUCGGGGGUCCUGCUGCGGGCAGGGGGAUGCGGGCGGCAGCGUGCCCACGGCGCUCAGCACCCGCUGCCUUCCCCGCUCCUGCCGUGCUGCAGCUUGUGGCCCCCGGCCCCCCCCGUGCUGCCAGGGGGGCUUCGUGCCCGUGAAGCCGGGUGCUGUGCCUGGACACCCAGGUGCCCCCGCGGGUGCUGCGCCUUGCUGUCUCGCUGCGUUGGUUGCUUUCUUUUGCAGCUGCUAUUGACUGACUGAGGUCUGUUCACACACAGUCCCCUGCGCAGCCCCCGCGGCGGAGCAGCCAGGCAGGACAAGGGGACAUUGCACGGCGCUCGCGUAGCCGCUGACAACAGCACCGCCAGCCCCGGGGCGCUGCCCCAGCUCUUGCCCGGCCGGGCUGACCCUGCCCGAGGAGCCUGGGCACAGGGAGCUGCCAGCGCUGCCAGCACGGGGACCCCACAGCUGCCCGGCCCCGGAGCUGUCCCACCCCGCACAGCCACCCCGUGACAGCCCGGCCACCGCGGGGACACAGCCGAGGAGAUGGCGGUGGCGGUGGCUGAGGACGCGGGGCUGCCUCCUGCCAGGUGCUGGGGCCCCUUUCCUCCUGCGCUGCGGCUGGUGCAGGGCAACAGGGAGGGCAUGGGCAGGAUGAGAGCCGCCCCCCUCCCUGAGUGUAACAGGGGAAGGGGAAGGGGACAGGUGAGGAACUGGCUCAGCCCCCCAGGAGGACACGAUGGCCAGAGCCAGAAGGGCCCCCCGCCAGCCCCAGCAGCCCUGUCCCAUCCCUCUGCCUGUCGGCAAAGCCCUGCUGCUUUCGGCAAGUGCCCCGCACCACUGCUGCCUUGUCCUGGUGAGACCUUGGCUCUGCACUGGGGGCAUUUUGGGGAAACGCUAGGUUUCUGGACCAGCCUGGAGCCCUGAGGGGAGCAGGGCUCCGUGCAUCCCUUGUAGGGCCGUGCGGGGAUGGCAGCACCAGGCAUGUCCUGUGUGUGGCUGCAACAUUUGUGCUGCUGAAGGGCCCGAGGGGGCACACAGCCCCUGUGGGAUGAGGGCGCCUGGAGGCGACAAGGGGCAGAGGGUGCCUGGGAGCCCCUGCCCAGCCUUGUCUCACUCCUCAGCACGGGCUCAGCACCCGCUCCUGCAGCCAGCCCCACGGAGAGGCGGCCUCUGACGGUGAGGGGACGCGGUGCCAGGGCACAUUGCCCCCGGUCCAGUCGUGGUUUUCUCUGCCAGUCCUCCCCCUCCCUUGUGGGCUGGUGGGCUCGGUGCAGACCCCAGCGGAUGCCUCUGCAGAAGCCCUGCCCUUGAGCAGCCCCUGCCCGGGCAGCAGGCACCGGCAGCGCAGGUUGGGCACUUCGCCCAUCCCCGUCCGCUGCCUCAGCGCCCUGCCCUUGGAGCUUCACGAUGCUGAGGCACAGACCCAGCACUGCCGGGGCUGCCUCCUUCUCAGAGCCCGUCUCAUCCUUGCUGGUGCCAGGGCUGGGCAGCACGGCUCGCAGGGCAGCGCUGCUCGGGGGUCUGUGCCUCACUGCCAUGGGCAGUAGAGGCAGGAUCCUGCAGAGCGCUUCAUUUGGGAGGGUUGUGUCACACAGGCCAAAACACCCAGACACCCUCCCAAACCUCGAUCCAGUGGCAAAGCCCAAAAACGCCUCCUGCUCUAGGACGCUGUCACCCCGGAGGGCACUGCGUGGCCAUGGGGGACUGACCGGGCCCGGCUGUGCAUGUGUGCGCCCUGCUGCGUCGGUAACGCACUAACCAGGGCCCCCGGCCCCUCGCGGUGACUAACCCACUAACCAGCCCCGGCGCAUGCCCUACUAACCGCUCCUGUCUCACCUCCCACUAACCACGGGCAGCCCGCGCUGUCCUUAAAGGGGAACGGAAAAGCUGGGUAAGUACGGGGUGCUGCGGGGUGCUGCGGGGUGCUGCGGCACGGCACGGCUGCGGGAACGCAGGGGCAGGGCUGGGCAGUGUGGCACCCCGAUGGGCAGCACAGGGCAGAGCAGGGCAGUGCAGGAUAGCCCAGGGCAGUGCAGGGUGGGC